rnacentral:tRNA from 1 species
GGCUGUCUAGCUCAGUGGUAGAGCCUUUGUCUGGGAUGUAUAUGACCCUGGGUUUAAUCCCAAGACCACCG